rnacentral:lncRNA from 1 species
UGGAGAAGAUGUCAAAGGCCAAAGUCAAUCCCAGUUUGAUCCCUCUCUGCCUCCUGAUGAUGAUCAGGAUGUGAACUCUGCUACUGAUCCAGCACCAUGUUUGCCUGCCUACUGCCAUGCUCCCUGCCAUGAAGCUGGAACUGUGUGAAAACUGAGACACCAAAAAGGAAAGACACUCCUGAUUUCCCUCCCUUCUCCCUAGCCUCCUUUCCCAACAAACCACGGU